rnacentral:rRNA from 1 species
CGAGAAAGUCCCCUUCGGGGGGUGAGUAAAGUGGCGCACGGGUGAGUAACACGUAGGUAAUCUACCUUCGGGUGGGGAAUAACCCAGGGAAACUUGGGCUAACACCGCAUAAUGCAGCGGCACCACAUGGUGACAGUUGUUAAAGCGGGGGAUUUUAGGACCUCGCGCCUGGAGAGGAACCUGCGGCAGAUUAGCUAGUUGGUAAGGUAACGGCUUACCAAGGCGACGAUCUGUAGCCGGCCUGAGAGGGCGGUCGGCCACACUGACACUGACAUACGGGUCAGACUCCUACGGGAGGCAGCAGUCGGGAACUUUGGGCAAUGGGCGAAAGCCUGACCCAGCAACGCCGCGUGAAGGAUGAAAUCCUUCGGGAUGUAAACUUCGCAAGAUUGGGAAGAAUUAGUAGGGGUUAAUACCCCCUAUGAUGACGGUACCUUUUGUAAGCUCCGGCUAACUCCGUGCCAGCAGCCGCGGUAAUACGGGGGGAGCAAGCGUUGUUCGGAUUUACUGGGCGUACAGGGAGCGUAGGCGGUUCGGUAAGCCCUCUGUGAAAUCUCCAGGCUUAACCUGGAACAGUCGGAGGGGACUGCUGGGCCAGAGGACGGGAGAGGAGCGCGGAAUUCCCGGUGUAGCGGUGAAAUGCGUAGAGAUCGGGAGGAAGGCCGGUGGCGAAGGCGGCGCUCUGGAACGUAUCUGACGCUGAGGCUCGAAAGCG